AACUAUCAACCUCUGUACUUCAUUUUGAGCCUCCGAUUAACCUCCAAACUGAGAGCACAUAAUGACAACUUGUUUCUGCCUUCCCAAAACUAAUCCAGAAGAGACUUCCGUAACCAAAAGAAAUGAUCGAGAGCCUGCUUCUAACACUAAUUCUAAUAAUCCCAAAGGAAAAGGAUCCAAAGCUUUCAACUUUCGGGGGAACGAAAUCUGCGACAACAAAGGCGAAACCGUCGGAGUAUUUAACUUCGGCAACAAGAAGACCGCGGGCUCCACUGACAAGCAGGAUGGCGGCUCCAAUCUUGUUUUCACCUUUGAAGAUAUUAAAAUUCAGAGGAACCAGGCCAAGAAUACUGUCGGAUUUUGUGACUUCGGCAACGAGUAUUGAUCUUCAAUAUCCCUCGCUUGCAGGCCUCUUUUUCUUUUUUCUUUUUUUCUUUUUUUGAUUAUAGUACUAUUUUAUUUCUUAUGUGCGUGGUAGUUUAACAUAAAUUGUUCUUGUCAUGAGUAAAUGAAAAAAUUAAAAAUUAAAAAUCUUAAUUUUAUGUGGGGCGUGAAUAGUAACAGCAUUUACCUCCCUUUGUCUUUUGCUAUGAUAAAUAGGUGGAAGUGCUCUAAUAGGUGGGCCAUUAUUCUUUUAUGCAAUGAAUUUAAAGACGAAAAGAAAAGAAGAAAGCUCAUUCACUUCAACAGCUUUUAACCAAACACAUUCUCAAAGUAGUAUAAUUACCAUUUUUUGAAGACUACAUACAUAUGAUAACAGAAUGCAAGCCAACAUAUGAUAGGACUAUAUAUGAGUUUAUAAUUUCUAAUCACUAUUUAUCAUUAAACUAUGCUUAGCUCGAAGAUUGGUUAUAAAAAGGGACCAGCUUAUGACUGUAUAUUCAUCCGACACAGCUCGAGCUCGACUGAUUUGUAGCUCGUUUGAGCUCCACUCGUAAAAGAAACAAACAAAACAAGCUUAGCUCGAUAAAUAUAUUAAAUAAAGUCAAGCUUGAUUUACCAUAUGAUACUCCGCAUGAAUUCUUUGCAUAUACAUAAAAGAGAGUUUCAAUUGAGGGAUUUCAGUUAAAUAUAUUUGGGAGAUACUUUUGAUGGAGUCAGAAUUUCAUGUAUUGGGAGGCGUCUCUCAAAAUAUAAAUAAUAAUAAAAUUGAUCUCAUAAUACACAUACCAAACUAACAAAAGGGACCAAAACAUCAUGUAUAUCACAUAUAUCAAAAAUCAUUUUCCUAUUCAUUACAAUCGUAGUUGUAUUCGACGAGUUUUCAUAUUUUGAAAUCAUUACAUAAUAACCUCGUCAUAUUUUGAAAUUGUCGCAUAAUAGCCUUGUCACAAAGAAAUCAUUAUAAGCAAGAAAAAUUGUCAAGGAUUACAAAAUGCAUACUUGGAGUUGAAUAGCGAUUUAGAAAUAUCUUUAAAGCUUUUUUCCUUUCGUAAUUUGCACAUAAAUUGAAAGACUCAUUAAACUCAAUAGAAAAGACGAAGAAGAAAAAAAUUUAAUUUAACAAAAAUAAAAUAAAAUCAUAAGGGGAGUUAAUCAUCGAAACAAGUCGUCUUGUGUUUUGGGAAUUGUUUUACAACAGUGAGGGGAGCUGAGAAUGAAAAUGUGAGGUUUCGACUUGGUAGGCAAAUACCAGGAACUUGGUUUGGGCCUAUAAUAUAAUUUAAACAUCACAAAACAUGAUAAUAUCCAUAGCAGCAUGGUACUAUUUUUUUAAAUAAAAUAAAAUUGAGGAGGGGCAGGGGACCACCCUGGUCCUAUGCUGUCUUCGCCCCUGCUUGUAGGUUCAUCAUGUAUUGUAUUUCAAUGAUCCGAAUAGUCUAGUUUUUAGAUAUUACCCCAAUCACUUGAAUUCAAAAUUAUUUGACCACUCAAAUGGAUGGUUGUUAUUUUAAUUUUGGAAGCGUACUGUGUUUGUUGAUUUUAUUGGUCCCAAUUAGAUGCCUUCGUAAUUUUUAAUUUGCCUAAUUUUUUUUUAUAAAAAUAAUUUAUAAAAUAAAGACUUGAAAAAUAAAAGGUGUGGAUCAUCAUGCAAGUGGAAGAUACAACCAUGUAUAACGCGCAAGAUACAAUCAUGUAUGUUGUGGAAUCCAAUGUAAUAAUGCAAUGUUGGUUGGUUAAAAAAUAAUAGUUGAUAAAAGUUGAGGUGUGGCUUUCAUUUUCAACCAAUAUAGCAUCCUCUAGAGAAAACUUGCAUCGCCCGUAUUCGGGUUCUUGUGAAGGCAGCAUAGAUAGUAGCUUGGCAAGCAAGCUAAGGGUUACUUCAAGAGAUUCCUCCUCUUUCAUCGUCAAUAUAAAAGGGAUGUGACAUGCAUGCUUAUAUAUUAUUCUCAUCACGUUUUAAGAUAAAGCUAGCGGACAAGGCAAAUUAUCAACCUCUGUACUUCAUUUUGAGCCUCCGAUUAACCUCCAAACGAUUGAGACAUAAUGACAACUUGUUUCUGCUUUCCCAAACCUAAUCCAGACGAGACUUCCGUAACCAAAAGAAAUUAUCGGGAGCCUGAUCCUAACAUUAAUUCUAAUAGUCCCAAAGGAAAGGGACCCAAAGCUUUCAACUUUCGCGGAAAUGAUCUAUGCGACAACAAAGGCGACACCGUCGGAGUAUUCAACUUUGGCAACAAGAAGACCCAGGGCUGCAGCGGUACUGACAAACAGGAUGGCGGCUCCAAUAUUAAUUCUACUUUCAACUUUGAGGAUAACAAAAUUCAGAGGAACCAAGCCAAGAAAAUUGUCGGAUUUUGUGACUUCGGCAACGAGUAUUGAUCAUUCAAUAUCUGGCUCUCGUAGACCUCUUUUUCUUUUUCUUUUUUUAAUAAUGUAUCGUGCUAUUUUAGUCCUUAUAAUAUCCAACAAUAUUAAUAAAUAUAGAUUUUUGACUUAAAUGGUCUUUGAAUUUACACCAGCGUUUCAAAUAAGACAAAAGUCCUCAAUUCAUUCGUUC
rnacentral:lncRNA from 1 species